UUUAUUGCAGUGGGAAAAAAAGGAUAUGGUUAUGAGGCAAAAAUUGACCUGAAAUGCAGUUGUUUAGGAAGCUUCAAAUUUCAGCACUUAAUGGAAAAGGCAAAGUUUGAAUGGUUCCUUUGUUUAUACAAUUUUCAACAUUUUAAAUAAUAUGGAUUUAAUUUUCCAAAAUUUUUCAACUUAAAUGGGUAAGCUUUCAAACAGAAGAGAUUCCAACCCUGCAUCAUCCAAUCAGGAGUCCGAGGGUUGACUGUAAAAUGUGUAAACAACUAAUUGGGCUAAUGUAACCAUAAACCCAUUCAACCUUUCUGCAGUUUUGUGAUCUAAGGGAGACAAUUUAGGUCUCUUAAUAUUAUAUAUUAAGCUCAUUACAAGAGUAUCGAGGAUAGGGUAUACCAUAACAAUUUAAAUGACUUUUAUAAACACUUUGUUUUCUUAUACAUGAUGUUGUUUCACAUAAUUUUAUUGAAAUUACCGUAUUUAUAGGAAUCAUCAUUUGUCUCCUUGAAUACAGACCAAGUCAGCAAAUAUCCAAAUCAAAGAGGAGAUAUCCCUUUGGUAAAUUAUUUUGGAGGACGAUUUGUUGUUGAGCCUCAGCUCAAACAAGUUUGAGUCAGGUCCAAAACCUGUCCCAGGCCUUUUUAUACGACCGCAAAAAAAUUUUGCGGUCGUAUAUUGGUAUGACGUUGGCUUUGUCGUCGUCUGAAGACACAUUGGUUUUCGCACUCUUACUUUAGUUUAAGUGAAUGGAUCUCUAUGAAAUUUUAACAUAAGGUUCAAUACCACAAAAGGAAGGUUGGGAUUGAUUUUGGGGGUAUUGGUACAAACAGUUAAGGAAUUAGGGGCCAAAAAGGGGCCAAAAAUAAGCAUUUUUGUAACUUCCAGACAUAACUUGUGUGUUAGUGUAUGGAUCUCUCUGACAUUGUACCACAAGGUUCCAUAUCACAAAGGGAAUGCUGGGAUUGAUUUUGGGGGUAAUUGCCUCAAAAUUUAAUGAAUAAGGGGCCAAAAAAGGGGCAAAAAACAAGCAUUUUUCUAGUUUCAUGACAAUAACUUUUGUGUAAGUGUAUGGAUCUUUCUGAAAUUGUACUACAAGGUUCCAUAUCACUAAGGGAAAGCUGGGUUUGAGUUUGGGGGUAAUUGCCAUAAACUUUUAAGAAUUUUGGGCCAAAAAGGGCCUAAAAACAAGCAUUUUUCUAGUUUCCAGACAAUAACUUGUGUUCAAGUGUAUGGAUCUCUGUGAAAUUGUACUGCAAGGUACCCUACCACAAAGGGAAGGCUGGGAUUGAUUUUGGGGGUAAUUGCCUCAAAAUUUUAGGAAUUAGGGGCCAAAAAGGGGAAAAAACAAGCAUUUUUCUAGUUUCAGGACAAUAACUUGUGUGUAAGUGUAUGGAUCUUUAUGAAAUUGUACUACAAGGUUCCUUAUCACAAAGGGAAAGCUGGGUUUGAGUUUGGGGGUAUUUUCCCAAAACGUUAAAGAAUUUGGGGCCAAAAAGGGGCCUAAAAACAAGCAUUUUUCUAGUUUCCAGACAAUAACCUGUGUUCAAGUGUAUGGAUCUCUCUGAAAUUGUACUGGAAGGUACCAUACCACAAAGGGAAGGCUAGACAAAGGGAAGGCUAGGAUUGAGUUCGGGGGUGAUGAAUCAUAAGGGGGUUAAAAAAAUUUGGGGGAGGGAUUUUUUUUUUCCUUUUUUUCCUUUUUUUUUCUUUAAAAUUUUCAAUUUUAAAUUGGUUAUUUCUAAUUUAUAUAUAAAAGCAAAUAAUAAUGAUAUGGUUUGAAUAGGUAAAUUAAAAUUUUUGAAGUUCUUAGACCUCAUUCAUUCUGUGUCAGAAACCUAUGCUGUGUCAAAUAUUUAAUCACAAUCCAAAUUCAGUGCUGUAUUAAGCUUGAAUGUUGUGUCCAUACUUGCCCCAACUGUUCAGGGUUCGACCUCUGCUGUCGAAUCAAGCUGCGCCAAGCGGAGCAUUUUAUUGCUUUUUUUUUUUGCAAUAGUCCUCCAGGACCUCUCUUCUUUUAUACAUUGAAGCUUUAUACAGGACCUAUGACUUUCUUAAGAAGAACCUUUCACUUAAAUGAAAAUCCAAACGAGCCUGGACCUUUUUUGCCUAAAAGAAAAUUUGAUUCAUGUUGUUUCCAUAAUAUUAAACCUAGUUCAUGGUGUUAAAUAGUUGAAACAAAUACUUGAAUGAAUACAAUCCUUAAUGGAUAAAUCACUUAAAACCACAUAUCAGAUGUCUAAGUAAAUCCAUGUUUUAUUACUUGUCAAUUAUUAUUUUAUUGGAUAAAAAAAACUUAUAAUGAUGUUAUGGUGAAAGAGAGUGAUUUUGUUGGCUAGUGGGAGGUUUUACCUCCCAGUCAGCAUGGUCAGGCUACUAUGCUUCAAAAGGGGGUUUCUAAAUUUUUGAACAAAAAUAUUGUGAACUCCAAACAAUAUUUGAGACUUAACCCGUAUGAUAUAGGACAUCAGUUAUAGUGAUUAAAGUUUGUUGUUUGUGAUAGAC